UGGCUGCCCAUUCAAUACAGAAUUCAAUAUAAAAUCUGUCUCCUUACCCACCAGUGCAUACAUGGAACUGCCCCUGCCUACCUCAGUGAACUCCUCACCCCACUCACCACCUUAAGAAACCUCCGCUCCUCCACCUCUACCCACUGCCUGCACCAACCAAGGACUAAACUCUCCACCAUGGGAGACAGGGCCUUCCAGGCAGUCGCCCCACGGCUCUGGAAUGCCCUCCCAGAGCCCCUAAGGGCCCCACAAACUCUGGAGGUUUUUAAGAAGGGCCUAAAGACUUUUUUAUUUCAAAAGGCCUUUUAACAGUCAUGGUUUUAAAUUUUUUGUUACGGUGUUUUAUUGCGAUUGUUAUUUUCUGGAACUGUUUUUAACCCCUUGUUGUUGUAGCACUUUGAGAUUUCCCUGAAAUGUAAAGUGCAUUAUAAAUAAAAUUUAUUAUUAUUAUUAUUAUUAUUAUUACCAAUCACAAAAAUUGACAAGUCCGCUGGCAGCAGAGUCAUAUUUUACAAACCAAGAGCUGAAUAUAAUACUAGACAAAUUGGACAUAGUCUAGCAUAAGCUACACAGCUGCAACUGACACAUGCAGGACGAAAGAAAGUCACAAAUAGUGUGACUAACUUAAAGAAUGUGACGUGUUUCUCCUGUCCACUUCUGUAAAAUUGUCACAUUCUGCCUUUCGGCUAUGUUUAGUUUAGCUCUCUGUGUGUUUUUGAUAUUUUGAUCAGUUCAGUAUCUGUCUCAUAGUGUUUUGGGUUCUGUCCUGUGUCCAGUAUCUGUUAUAUAGUCGGUUGUGUUUUGGGUUUCACUCAUGUCCGUCCCUGUCUUCUUGGUGUCUUAGUUCCCAGUUCAGUGUUUUACUUCUUAGUCCUGUACCUUAGUUCAUGUCUAAUCCUGGUCUGUGUACUUCUGUAUAGCUUUGCCCAUGGCUGUUGUUAUCUUAGCUUCAGUCUAUGUCUGCUUGUGUCUGGGUUAGUUUGUUGUUUUUAUUAUUCUGAUCUGUUACUUCUUACCUUGAUAUGUUCAGUGUUCAGUACUUGUGUAAUGUCUGCUCACCUCCAGUAAUCUGCCUGCCAUCCAGCCUCUCUGUUUCCCCUUCUGUCUCUCUGCCUCGUUAACCCUGAUCCCAGUCACCUGUGUUGCUCCCGCCCUGCUUGUUAGUCCCUGUGUAUAAAUGUCUGGUGUUUCUGUUCAUUGUAGUGUGAAUACACACUGUUGCGUCUGAUGUUGAGUGGUCUGCCUGUCUCUGUGAAGCCUGAUCCUCUGUUUGGAAGUCUUACACCCAAACUGCAUAUUUACUGGACCUGCCUGCAGCUCACCUGCUACCCACUCACCGCUUCAGCCUACACACCAAGGGGCGAGGGACCAUCUCCCUCGCCCCUUGUGAACUGACUAAACUGUUGACUACAAUAAACUCCUUUUGAACUUAGA